UACGUAGGGUGCAAGCGUUAAUCGGAAUUACUGGGCGUAAAGCGUGCGCAGGCGGUUUUGUAAGACAGAUGUGAAAUCCCCGGGCUCAACCUGGGAAUUGCAUUUGUGACUGCACGGCUAGAGUGUGUCAGAGGGGGGUAGAAUUCCACGUGUAGCAGUGAAAUGCGUAGAGAUGUGGAGGAAUACCGAUGGCGGAGGCAGCCCCCUGGGAUAACACUGACGCUCAUGCACGAAAGCGUGGGGAGCAAACAGG
rnacentral:rRNA from 1 species